CGACCGCUCCGUAAAAGCUAACACCCAGCAGUCCCGUGGCGGUUCUGCAACCGUUUACACUGCGUUCUUCGAUCCG
rnacentral:tRNA from 1 species